CCCGGAAACAGGAAACAGUCUUUUCUAGCUGACUGUCCAAGCAUUCCUGUACUAGAAAAGGGCUUCCCUGCUCCAAGAUACAAUACAAAGUCUUUGUUUAUGUCGGUGAACGGAGCAAACCAUGCCCAAGAUGGAAAUAAAAUGAAAUGGAUGCAAACUUCUAAGGACCAGAAUCUUCAUUCAUUUAAUUUCUACUUAUUGGUUCUUGUUCUUGCCCGUGGUCAUUAUAUAUAGAGAGUAAGUCUGAUCUUUUUUCUUGUCCAUUACCUCUACCCAUAUCCUAACCCCUAAUCUGUCCAGAUUCCCUUUGGUGUGGUUGGGAGGGGGGAAGGAAUACAGGCUGCUCAAAUAACUUAGACAUUUUGAGACUUUAUAACUACUAUUUUUCUGGUGAAAUAGAUUAUACUGGCAGGGAAGUACAUUUGCCUUUUAGUGAUGCCUGCCAGAUCCCUAGAUGGUUCAGUGGACCCUGUUAAAGCACCCUAAAUACUCUUUGUUCCUUUCAUCAUUAUGAACUACUAUGUUAUCCUUAGCACUUGUAGACUUUUCUAUCCAUCCUGAACUCUUAUAUUUGUAGCUUCCCACAAUAAGAGUUCACCAAGCUCCUUGAAAAUAGUGACUAAUUUUUAAAUUUGUUUAUCACCAAUGUUCAACAUAAUGUUUAAGACAUAAUAA
rnacentral:lncRNA from 1 species